CCUACGGGAGGCAGCAGUGAGGAAUAUUGGUCAAUGGACGAGAGUCUGAACCAGCCAAGUAGCGUGAAGGAUGACUGCCCUAUGGGUUGUAAACUUCUUUUAUAUGGGAAUAAAACGUUCCACGUGUGGGAUUUUGUAUGUACCAUAUGAAUAAGGAUCGGCUAACUCCGUGCCAGCAGCCGCGGUAAUACGGAGGAUCCGAGCGUUAUCCGGAUUUAUUGGGUUUAAAGGGAGCGUAGGUGGAUUGUUAAGUCAGUUGUGAAAGUUUGCGGCUCAACCGUAAAAUUGCAGUUGAAACUGGCAGUCUUGAGUACAGUAGAGGUGGGCGGAAUUCGUGGUGUAGCGGUGAAAUGCUUAGAUAUCACGAAGAAAUCCGAUUGCGAAGGGAGUUCACUGGACUGCAACUGACACUGAGGCUCGAAAGUGUGGGUAUCAAACAGGAUUAGAUACCCGGGUAGUC
rnacentral:rRNA from 1 species